UUUAUUGGAGAGUUUGAUCCUGGCUCAGGAUGAACGCUGGCGGCGUGCCUAAUACAUGCAAGUCGAGCGGAUGGAUUAAGAGCUUGCUCUUAUGAAGUUAGCGGCGGACGGGUGAGUAACACGUGGGUAACCUGCCCAUAAGACUGGGAUAACUCCGGGAAACCGGGGCUAAUACCGGAUAACAUUUUGAACCGCAU
rnacentral:rRNA from 1 species